AUUGAACGCUGGCGGCAUGCCUAACACAUGCAAGUCGAGCGGAUGAACGGAGCUUGUUCCUGGCUUCCGCGGCCGACGGGUGAGUAAUGCCUACGAAUCUGCCUUGCAGUUCGGAAUAAGGUCCGUUAACGGGCGCUAAUAUCGCACCCGACCUUAUGUUGCAACUGGGGGAUCUUCGGACCUCACGCUAUCUGAUGAGCCUAGGUCGGAUUAGCUAGUUGGUGGGGUAAAGGCCUACCAAGGCGACGAUCCGUAACUGGUCUGAGAGGAUGAUCAGUCACACUGGAACUGAGACACGGUCCAGACUCCUACGGGAGGCAGCAGUGGGGAAUAUUGGGCAAUGGGCGAAAGCCUGAUCCAGCAAAGCCGCGUGAGUGAAGAAGGUCUUCGGAUUGUAAAGCACUGUAAGUUGGGAGGAAGGAAAGUAAGUUAAUACCUUGCUGUAUUGACGGUACCAACAGAAUAAGCACCGGCUAACUUCGUG
rnacentral:rRNA from 1 species